CAGCGUAGACGGCCCCUUGGGAAGUUUCAGUUCCCUACAUCCAUGUGAUUGAGAAAAGGGCUUCCUCCCUCAUAGCCUCUCAGCCUUCUGAGAGGAAAUAACCCUGCAGACAUUGAGUGUGGCCCUGGCCACAAGCAGCAUACAGCAGACCGUGGCCCUGCAAUCCUCUGGCCUUCGGGUUGUUGCAAACCUUUGACAUUCAUACUCAUUGAAAAUCAAAGGUAUGGGAGCAAGUGGCUUCCCAGCUGGUGUUCGCACUCUGAGGCCACGUGGUCUCCAGGAGCCACGUGCAUCCGGGCCCAGUCCCCGCGGCCCCCGGAAAGCCAGCCAACUGUGGAUUCCACGGUAUAGGAUCAUCCUCGAGACACUGCUCCGCUGAGUAACAGUUUCCUUACCACCUACCGUUUGGUUUCUGUUCUCUGUAAAGGAGAGAGCAGAGACUGGGAAAUGAGUAAAUGUGUUCUGUGGAGAUGGGUAAUUAAUAUAGUCAGAGGGCAGGUGUGACUCCUGGGCUCCCACCUCCCAGGGACACAAAUGAAGUCUGUGUGCCUUUUGAGGUACACUGGCAAUCAGGGCCAGCCUCUGAUAUGAGGCCCCGAUGCCCAAAGCAAGAGUCUUGAGUUUACCACCAACAGCGAAGUUGCUAUUUUAGCUAGUGGAAGAGCUUUCUGCCAUCAAGGGAGGACAACAAGAGCCCUGGAUGGGUGACCACAGUCACUGACCUUAACUGAACCUCUUCUUUUCUGUUAAAAUGGACAUUGAGUGGGUGUCGCCUGCAGUUUCUGGAAGCCCUGGAUGCAGUGAGAGAGACUUUUCCUGUGAAUGGGGCCACCCAAAGGCAUUUAGCAGGACAAAGGAUUGGAGGGAGACCAGAUCACACUGCAAGAGAGUGAGCCACCAGAACUGCCAGGAUGCCAUCCAGUGUAUCACGUGACAUUUAGUCAUCAUGUCUGUUUAGACUCUUCUGGGCUUUCACAGUUUCUGAGACUGUCCUUGUUUCUAUGACCUUGACAUUGGAGGAAGCUACUUUGGGAACCAGCACUUAUGGAGACAGGAGUUAUCUCCACCUCCACAAUCCAUGGAUGGCUGAGUGUCCACAUCAAUUAUUUAGACUUCCACAUAGGAGAUUUCUAUUCAACCUUAUUGAUCAAAACAAACAAACAAACAAACAAACAAAACCCUAUGCAGUUACUUAUUUUUACCAGCAUGGACACCUGUGGACAGUUUUUGUUUGUUUGUUUUUCUUUGUUUUUUUAACUUUUUGUUAUAAUCCAGCAGUCCAGAUUUUGUUGCUAAGUUCAUUCCUACUUUGGCUAUUGAGAGCUCUUUCCAUUGGCUCCUGUUUUCCUUUGACAUCAUUCCACCCUGUGGACUUUUUUUUCUUGAUACUUCCUUAUUUUCUGAUAUAAGAUUCAAGAUUGGGGCUUCCCUGGUGGCGCAGUGGUUGAGAAUCCGCCUGCCAAUGCAGGGGACACAGGUUCGAGCCCUGGUCUAGGAAGAUCCCAUAUGCCGCGGAGCAACUAGGCCCGUGAGCCACAAUUACUGAGCCUGUGCGUCUGGAGCCUGCGCUCCACAACAGGAAAGGCUGCGAUGGUGAGAGGCCCGCGCACCGCGAUGAAGAGUGGCCCCCGCUCGCUGCAACUAGAGAAAGCCCUCGCACAGAAACGAAGACCCAACACAGCCAAAAAUAAAUAAAUUAAAAAAAUUA